rnacentral:rRNA from 1 species
UGCCAGCCGCCGCGGUAAUACGGAGGGGGUUAGCGUUGUUCGGAAUUACUGGGCGUAAAGCGUACGUAGGCGGAUUAAUAAGUUAGAGGUGAAAUCCCAGGGCUCAACCCUGGAACUGCCUUUAAAACUGUUAGACUUGAGUUCGAGAGAGGGUGGUGGAAUUCCUGGUGUAGAGGUGAAAUUCGUUGAUAUCAGGAGGAACACCGGUGGCGAAGGCGACCACCUGGCUCGAUACUGACGCUCAUGUGCGAAAGCGUGGGGAGCAAACAGGAUUAGAUA